AGCGAACGCUGGCGGCAGGCCUAACACAUGCAAGUCGAACGAAGUCUUCGGACUUAGUGGCGGACGGGUGAGUAACACGUGGGAACGUGCCUUUAGGUUCGGAAUAACUCAGGGAAACUUGUGCUAAUACCGAAUGUGCCCUUCGGGGGAAAGAUUUAUCGCCUUUAGAGCGGCCCGCGUCUGAUUAGCUAGUUGGGGAGGUAAAGGCUCACCAAGGCGACGAUCAGUAGCUGGUCUGAGAGGAUGAUCAGCCACAUUGGGACUGAGACACGGCCCAAACUCCUACGGGAGGCAGCAGUGGGGAAUCUUGCGCAAUGGGCGAAAGCCUGACGCAGCCAUGCCGCGUGAAUGACGAAGGUCUUAGGAUUGUAAAAUUCUUUCACCGGGGACGAUAAUGACGGUACCCGGAGAAGAAGCCCCGGCUAACUUCGUGCCAGCCGCCGCUGUAAAAC
rnacentral:rRNA from 1 species